AUGAUGGCAUCAGAUCUACAUGAAGCUGACUUGAAAAGACAGAACAGUUCCUUGAGUAUGGAUUAAAGACGUGGCAAUGUUGCUGGUGACAGCAAAAAUGACCCACCAAUGGAAACAGCUGGCUUCCCUGCAUAGGUGAUUAUCCUGAACCAUCUAGGCCAAAUAAGCGCUGGCUAUGUCCCUGUAUUGGAUUGCCACACAGCUCACAUUGCAUGCAAGUUUGCUGAGCGGAAGAAAAAGAUUGAUCGUCGUUCUGGUAAAAAGCUGGAAGAUGGCCCUGAAUUCUUGAAGUCUGGUGAUGCUGCCAUUGUUGAUAUGGUUCCUGGCAAGCCCAUGUAUAUCCACCUUUGGGUCGCUUUGCUGUUCGUGAUAUGAGACAGACAGUUGUGCUGGGUAUCAUCAAAGCAGUGGACAAGAAGGCUGCUGGAGCUGGCAAGGUCACCAAGUCUGCCCAGAAAGCUCAGAAGGCUAAAUGAAUAUUAUCCCUAAUACC